UACGUAGGGUGCAAGCGUUGUCCGGAAUUAUUGGGCGUAAAGAGCUCGUAGGCGGUCUGUCGCGUCGGCUGUGAAAACCCGAGGCUCAACCUCGGGCCUGCAGUCGAUACGGGCAAACUAGAGUACUGCAGGGGAGACUGGAAUUCCUGGUGUAGCGGUGAAAUGCGCAGAUAUCAGGAGGAACACCGAUGGCGAAGGCAGGUCUCUGGGCUGUAACUGACGCUGAGGAGCGAAAGCAUGGGGAGCGAACAGG
rnacentral:rRNA from 1 species